rnacentral:rRNA from 1 species
UACAGAGGUCUCAAGCGUUGUUCGGAUUCAUUGGGCGUAAAGGGUGCGUAGGCGGCGCGGUAAGUCGGGUGUGAAAUCUUGGAGCUUAACUCCGAAACUGCAUUCGAUACUGCCGUGCUUGAGGACUGGAGAGGAGACUGGAAUUUACGGUGUAGCGGUGAAAUGCGUAGAUAUCGUAAGGAAUACCAGUGGCGAAGGCGGCCUCCUGGAUCGAUACUGACGCUGAGGCGCGAAAGCGUGGGGAGCAAACAGG